AUGAGCUCGUCGGUGCACGGCGCCGGCCAGAACCAGAGCGAGGCGGGAGGCGGCGGCGGCGAUAAUGGCAGAAAGAAGGCGGGGGCGGAUGAGAAGGUGGAGAAGGUGCCGUUCCUGAAGCUCUUCUCGUUCGCGGACCGGUGGGACUACCUGCUGAUGGCGGUGGGCUCGGUGGGCGCGUGCGCGCACGGCGCCUCCGUGCCCGUCUUCUUCAUCUUCUUCGGCAAGCUCAUCAACAUCAUCGGCAUCGCCUCCUUCUUCCCCGCCAUGGUCUCCGGCCGCGUCGCCAAGUACUCGCUGGACUUCGUGUACCUGGGCGUGGUCAUCCUCUUCUCGUCGUGGACCGAGGUGGCGUGCUGGAUGCACACGGGGGAGCGGCAGGCGGCGAAGAUGCGGCUGGCGUACCUGCGGUCGAUGCUGGACCAGGACAUCGCCGUCUUCGACACCGAGGCGUCCACCGGCGAGGUCAUCAACGCCAUCACCAGCGACGUCCUCGUCGUCCAGGACGCCAUCUCCGAGAAGGUGGGCAACUUCAUGCACUACAUCAGCCGGUUCCUGGCCGGGUUCGCCAUCGGCUUCUCGCGCGUGUGGCAGAUCAGCCUGGUCACGCUCGCCAUCGUCCCGCUCAUCGCCAUCGCCGGCGGCACCUACGCCUACGUCACCAUCGGCCUCAUGGCGCGCGUCCGCAAGUCCUACGUCAAGGCCGGCGAGAUCGCGGAGGAGGUGAUCGGCAACGUGCGGACUGUGCAGGCCUUCGUCGGCGAGGAGAAGGCCGUGAGGACGUACCGAGAGGCGCUGCUGCGGACGUACAAGUACGGCAAGCGGGGCGGCCUCGCCAAGGGCCUCGGCCUCGGCUCCAUGCACUCGGUGCUCUUCCUCUCCUGGGCGCUGCUCGUCUGGUUCACCGGCAUCGUCGUCCACAAGCGCAUCUCCAACGGCGGCGAGUCCUUCACCACCAUGCUCAACGUCGUCAUCGCCGGCCUGUCGCUUGGCCAGGCGGCGCCCAACAUAUCGACGUUCCUCCGGGCGAGGACGGCGGCGUACCCGAUCUUCCAGAUGAUCGAGAGGAGCUCCAGGGCCGGGCGCACGCUGCAGGCGGUGGAGGGCAACAUCCACUUCCGCGACGUGCGGUUCGCGUACCCGUCCCGCCCGGACGUGGUCAUCCUCGACCGCCUCAGCCUGGACUUCCCGGCCGGCAAGAUCGUCGCCCUCGUCGGCGGGAGCGGCUCCGGCAAGAGCACCGUGGUCUCCCUCAUCGAGCGCUUCUACGAGCCGCUCUCGGGCGCGGUCCUCCUCGACGGGCACGACAUCAAGGACCUGGACGUCAAGUGGCUGCGCGGGCAGAUCGGGCUCGUCAACCAGGAGCCGGCGCUGUUCGCGACGAGCAUCCGGGAGAACAUACUCUACGGCAAGAGCAACGCCACCGCAGACGAGAUCGACCACGCGGCGAAGCUGUCGGAGGCCAUCACCUUCAUCAACAACCUCCCCGAGCGGUACGAGACGCAGGUCGGGGAGCGCGGGAUACAGCUCUCGGGAGGGCAGAAGCAGCGGAUCGCCAUCUCGAGGGCGAUACUCAAGAACCCGUCCAUACUGCUCCUCGACGAGGCCACCAGCGCGCUCGACGCCGAGUCCGAGAAGAGCGUGCAGGAGGCGCUGGACCGCGUCAUGGUCGGCCGCACCACCGUGGUGAUCGCGCACCGCCUCUCCACCAUCAGGAACGCCGACACCAUCGCCGUCGUGGACGGGGGGAGGAUCGUCGAGACCGGCACGCACGAGCAGCUCAUGGCCAACCCUCUCAGCGCCUACUCGUCGCUGAUCCAGCUGCAGGAGGCUGCUCAGCAUCAGCGCAAGCCUUCUUUCUCGCACAGCACGAGCAUCACCAGGCCACUAAGUUUCAAGUAUUCAAGGGAGCUGUCAAGGACGAGCAGGGGUGGCAGCUUCCGCUCCGACAAGGACUCGAUAAGCCGGUACGGCGGCGUGGAGGCGAACGACGAAGGGCAGGGCAAGGGGAAGCCCGUGUCCAUGAAGAAGCUCUACUCCAUGGUGCGGCCGGACUGGGUGUUCGGCGUGUCGGGCACCAUCAGCGCGUUCGUGGCGGGCGCCCAGAUGCCGCUCUUCGCCCUGGGCGUGACGCAGGCGCUGGUGUCCUACUACAUGGGGUGGGAGACCACCAAGAGGGAGGUGCGCAAGAUCGCCACGCUCUUCUGCUGCGGCGCCGUGCUCACCGUGGUGUUCCACGUGAUCGAGCACCUCAGCUUCGGCAUCAUGGGCGAGCGGCUCACGCUGCGCGUCCGGGAGAAGAUGUUCGCCGCCAUCCUGCGGAACGAGAUCGGGUGGUUCGACAGCACCAGCCACACCAGCUCGAUGCUGGCGUCGCGGCUCGAGACCGACGCCACGCUGGUGCGCACCAUCGUCGUCGACCGCUCCACCAUCCUGCUGCAGAACGUCGGCAUGAUCGUCACCUCGCUCAUCAUCGCCUUCAUACUCAACUGGAGGAUUACGCUGGUCGUGCUUGCCACGUAUCCCCUCAUGGUCAGCGGCCACAUCAGUGAGAAAAUGUUCAUGAAAGGAUACGGAGGCAACCUCGGCAAGUCGUAUCUGAAGGCAAACAUGCUCGCCGCCGAGGCGGUGAGCAACAUGAGGACGGUGGCCGCCUUUUGCGCAGAGGAGAAGGUGAUAAAGCUCUACGCUGACGAGCUCAAGGAGCCGGGUAAGCGGUCCUUCCGGCGAGGGCAGGGAGCCGGCGUCUUCUAUGGAGUCUCUCAGUUCUUCCUCUUCUCUUCCUAUGCGCUGGCUUUAUGGUACGGUUCGCACCUGAUGAGCAAGGAGUUGGCCACCUUCAGGUCUGUGAUGAAGUCCUUCAUGGUGCUCAUAGUGACAGCGCUGGCAAUGGGCGAGACGCUGGCGAUGGCGCCGGACAUCAUCAAGGGGAACCAGAUGGCGUCCUCGGUGUUCGAGAUCCUGGACAGGAAGACCGAGGUCCAGAUCGAUACCGGCGACGACAUCAAGAAGGUGGAGGGAGUGAUCCAACUGCGGGACGUUGAAUUCCGGUACCCGUCGAGGUCGGAGGUGGCCGUGUUCAAAGGGCUCGACCUCCUGAUGAAGGCCGGCAAGAGCAUGGCGCUCGUCGGGAUGAGCGGCUCCGGCAAGAGCACCGUUCUUUCACUCAUCCUCCGCUUCUACGAUCCUAUCGCCGGAAAAGUCUUGAUCGAUGGAAAGGACAUUAAGAAGCUUAAGCUGAAGUCGCUGAGGAGGCACAUCGGCCUGGUGCAGCAAGAGCCGGCGCUGUUCGCGACGACGAUCUACGAAAACAUCCUCUACGGCAAGGACGGCGCGACGGAGGCCGAGGUCAUCGAGGCGGCGAAGCUGGCGAACGCGCACACCUUCAUCAGCUCACUGCCGGAGGGGUACCAGACCAAGGUCGGGGAGCGCGGCGUGCAGCUGUCGGGUGGGCAGAAGCAGCGCAUCGCCAUCGCACGCGCCAUCGUCAAGGACCCGGCCAUCCUGCUCCUGGACGAGGCAACGAGCGCGCUGGACAUGGAGUCGGAGCGCGUGGUGCAGCAGGCUCUGGACAGGGUGAUGAAGAACCGGACCACUGUGAUGGUGGCGCACCGGCUGUCAACGAUCAAGAACGCCGACGUCAUCUCGGUGAUCCAGGACGGCAAGAUCAUCGAGCAGGGGGAUCACCAGCACCUCAUCGAAAACAAGAAUGGUGCCUACCACAAGCUCGUCAACUUGCAGCAGCAGCAGCAGCAGCAACAGCUGCAGGAGGGCCAGAGCUCAUGA
rnacentral:rRNA from 1 species